GAAUGAGUACACUUUAAAUUCUUUAACAAGGAUCCAUUGGAGGGCAAGUCUGGUGCCAGCAGCCGCGGUAAUUCCAGCUCCAAUAGCGUAUAUUAAAGUUGUUGCGGUUAAAAAGCUCGUAGUUGGUUCUGCGUGCCGAGCUGUCGGUUCGCCGCCUGUCGGUGUAACUGGCAUGUCUCGGCAUGUCCUGUCGGUGGUGAACGAGAUCCCCGAUGCUGGCGGAGGCUUUUAUAGCCGAAGUUUUGCGCCGUGUGUGAUGUCGUUUGCCGAUCUCUCCUACUUCGGUGCUCUUAAACGAGUGUCGAGGUAGGCCGACACGUUCACUUUGAACAAAUUAGAGUGCUUAAAGCAGGCUAAAAUAUCUGCCUGAAUAGUGGUGCAUGGAAUGAUAAAAUAGGACCUCGGUUCUAUUUUGUUGGUUUUAGGAAUAUGAGGUAAUGAUCAAUGUGGACUGGCGGGGGCAUUCGUAUUGCGACGUUAGAGGUGAAAUUCUUGGAUCGUCGCAAGACGCACUAGAGCGAAAGCAUUUGCCAAGUAUGUCUUAAUUGAUCAAGAACGAAAGUUAGAGGUUCGAAGGCGAUCAGAUACCGCCCUAGUUCUAACCAUAAACGAUGCCAGCCAGCGAUCCGCCGACGUUCCUAUAAUGACUCGGCGGGGAGCUUCUACUCGGGAAACCAAAGCUUUUGGGUUCCGGGGGAAGUAUGGUUGCAAAGCUGAAACUUAAAGGAAUUGACGGAAGGGCACCACCAGGAGUGGAGCCUGCGGCUUAAUUUGACUCAACA
rnacentral:rRNA from 1 species